UUCCGGUUGAUCCUGCCAGAGGCGACCGCUUUUGGAGUUCGAUUAAGCCAUGCGAGUCGAGAGCCUUAGGGGCUCGGCAUACUGCUCAGUAACACGUGGAUAACCUGCCCUAUUGUCUGGAAUAACCUCGGGAAACUGAGAACAAGGCCGGAUAACCCACAAUGCCUGGAACGGUUUGUGGGUGAAGAUAGGAUGGGUCUGCGGCGUAUCAGGUCGUAGGGGGUGUAAUGGACCUCCUAGCCAUCGACGCGUACGGGUGUUGGGAGACAUAGCCCGGAGAUGGAUUCUGAGACACGAAUCCAGACCCUACGGGGUGCAGCAGGCGCGAAAACUUCACACUGCAGGAAACUGUGAUGAGGGAACUCCAAGUGCAUUCACUAUGUGGAUGCUUUUUUUGACUAUUAAUCGGUCAACGAAUAAGGGCUGGGAAAGACCGGUGCCAGCCGCCGCGGUAAUACCGGCAGCUCAAGUGGUCGUCGCUUUUAUUGGGCCUAAAACGUCCGUAGCCUGUUUGGUAAAUCUGUGGGUAAAUCAACCAGCUUAACUGGUUGAAUUCUGCAGAGACUGCCAGACUAGGGACCGGGAGAGGUGUGGGGUACUCUAGGGGUAGGGGUAAAAUCCUGUCAUCCUUAGAGGACCACCAGUUGCGAAGGCGCCACACUGGAACGGAUCCGACGGUCAGGGACGAAGCCUAGGGGCACGAACCGGAUUAGAUACCC
rnacentral:rRNA from 1 species